CGUAGGUGGCAAGCGUUGUCGGGAAUUAUUGGGCGUAAAGCGCGCGCAGGCGGUUCCUUAAGUCUGAUGUGAAAGCCCCCGGCUCAACCGGGGAAGGUCAUUGGAAACUGGGGAACUUGAGUGCAGAAGAGAAGAGCGGAAUUCCACGUGUAGCGGUGAAAUGCGUAGAGAUGUGGAGGAACACCAGUGGCGAAGGCGGCUCUUUGGUCUGUAACUGACGCUGAGGCGCGAAAGCGUGGGGAGCAAACAGGAUUAGAUACCCUGGUAGUCCACGCCGUAAACGAUGAGUGCUAAGUGUUAGAGGGUUUCCGCCCUUUAGUGCUGCAGCUAACGCAUUAAGCACUCCGCCUGGGGAGUACGGCCGCAAGGCUG
rnacentral:rRNA from 1 species